AUUGAACGCUGGCGGAAUGCUUUACACAUGCAAGUCGAACGGCAGCACGGACUUCGGUCUGGUGGCGAGUGGCGAACGGGUGAGUAAUGUAUCGGAACGUGCCCAGUCGUGGGGGAUAACGUAGUGAAAAUUACGCUAAUACCGCAUACGAUCUAUGGAUGAAAGCGGGGGAUCGCAAGACCUCGCGCGAUUGGAGCGGCCGAUAUCAGAUUAGGGAGGUGGUGGGGUAAAGGCCCACCAAGCCAACGAUCUGUAGCUGGUCUGAGAGGACGACCAGCCACACUGGAGCUGAGACACGGUCCAGACUCCUACGGGAGGCAGCAGUGGGGAAUUUUGGACAAUGGGCGAAGGCCUGAUCCAGCCAUUCCGCGUGCAGGAUGAAGGCCCUCGGGUUGUAAACUGCUUUUGUACAGAACGAAAAGGUUUCUACUAAUACUAGGAGCUCAUGACGGUACUGUAAGAAUAAGCACCGGCUAACUACGUGCCAGCAGCCGCCGUAA
rnacentral:rRNA from 1 species